rnacentral:rRNA from 1 species
UGGGGAAUAUUGGACAAUGGGCGCAAGCCUGAUCCAGCAAUGCCGCGUGUGUGAAGAAGGCCUUCGGGUUGUAAAGCACUUUUAUCAGGAGCGAAACGCUGUCGGCUAAUACCCGGCGGAACUGACGGUACCUGAGGAAUAAGCACCGGCUAACUUCGUGCCAGCAGCCGCGGUAAUACGAAGGGUGCAAGCGUUAAUCGGAAUUACUGGGCGUAAAGCGUGCGUAGGCGGUUUCUUAAGUCUGCUGUGAAAUCCCCGGGCUCAACCUGGGAAUGGCAGUGGAUACUGGGAGGCUAGAGUGUGUCAGAGGGUGGUGGAAUUCCCGGUGUAGCGGUGAAAUGCGUAGAGAUCGGGAGGAACAUCAGUGGCGAAGGCGGCCACCUGGGACAACACUGACGCUGAGGCACGAAAGCGUGGGGAGCAAACAGGAUUAGGAUACCCUGGUAGUCCACGCCCUAAAGCGAUGCGAACUGGAUGUUGGUCUCAACUCGGAGAUCAGUGUCGAAGCUAACGCGUUAAGUUCGCCG